UUUGUGCUCCGUGUGCUUGGUAAUGACCUUAAACAAGUGUUUGUUUGUGUGGGUGUUGGCAAAGCAACUCAACAAUUUUUCUUCUCUCAGGUUGGCUUUUGUGGAACAGCAUGUCUUUUGUGUACAGCAUUUAAAGGGUCCAUCUUUUCCAUUCUGUCUUGAACACACACACCAAAGAGCGUGUGAAUCACUGUGGUUUCAUGGAGUCAUCUCCCAGAGCACUGGGAAAAUUUUACUGUGAGAAAAAGACAGCGCCCAUAUUUGGAAAAAUUGUCCAACUCACAUUCUCUUACCACACAUCCCUGAACCUGCCGAUGAUUCAGUCCGAGCAACACUGCAAGUAAAAAAAGCGUGUCAAAAGUCAGCAUGAGUGUACGGUGGGAUAUUGUUGCUCCUUAAUGACAAUGUUUUCUCCAGACGGAUGAACACUUCCUGAACCAUCCCAGACAGUGACUGUGGGGAAACACAGUGUAUCAAGACGCCAAGCUAUUCCUUAUGCUCAGAGAAUGUGGCCUUCCUUAUGAGCAUGUGUGAAGGAAUGCGUUUUUGGUAGAACCAAAUAUGGUCAUGUGAUGUGUCAUUUUUCCCAAAGGUGAGUCAAUGCUUCAGCCUAAUGUUCUUAAUUACUCCCGAUGAAGAAUAUUUCUUAUUUUUACAGCCUUUGUGGUUGCUGA